rnacentral:lncRNA from 1 species
CCCGAGCCGAACCGAUUAACCCUUAGAAAAAUAAUAAAUUAAUAAUAAUUGGGCUUUCCAUAAUUUUUUGAUUUUUUAUAUGUUAAUUACUUAAUUUCUUUGGCCCAAAAUUUCUGGCCUGUUAACAAAUUAAAUUUACACCCAAGUACCCAUUACCCAACUUUGAACCCCAACAGUCUAACACAAAGGCACAAACAUUUUAUUGGAAAAUUGGAAUCUCAGCUUCUGCAUUUUGGGUCUGUCGAGUACCGACUGUCGUCUCAUCCUCCUCUGCCCGUUUGCAAUAUUUUCUUCUCCUUCGACCUUUAGGCUUCUACCACUGGUGAGCUUCUCAUUUUCUCUUUUGAUAAUUUGUAUUUGUCUAUUUGAAUUUGUUGUGAAUUUCGUACAAGAUUUGGCCAAAAUAUAUCCAAAAUUUUCAAUUUUUUUACAAUUGGUGGCUGUUUUAGAGAUAAAUGACUUUAAUUUCUUCCACUUUGAUGACUUUUGGCCGAAACAAUACAUAAACAAGAAAUUAAAUUCUUUAAUUAUAGAAAUCAAACCCUAAGUGGAUAUUUGGCGUUAAAAAUUCUGAAAGGUGAAAAAGAACAAGAAUGGAGAAAUAAAUGGGAAAGAGCAAAUGGAGAAAAUGUGUGAUGUACACAUGUGCAAUGAAUGGGUUACCUGUAUAGCCGGGAAAUACUGUAGUUGAAGCGUUCUCUUUGGCCCGUUAUUGAAUAUUGUUUGUUAAAUUUGGAUUGUGUAUUUGAGAAUUAGGAUAUUUUUUUGCAUUUUCAUUUGGGAUGUUGUUUACUGCAUUGACUUUUUUCAUACAUUUUUCUUUUUAAUUCGACAUAUAGACCAAUUAAAAAUAAUUUAUUUUUGUGGUUAUUAACGAC